UGAGGAAUAUUGGUCAAUGGGCUUACGCCUGAACCAGCCAAGUCGCGUGAGGGAAGACUGCCCUAUGGGUUGUAAACCUCUUUUGUCAGGGAGCAACGCCGGCUACGUGUAGCCGGACUGAGAGUACCUGAAGAAAAAGCAUCGGCUAACUCCGUGCCAGCAGCCGCGGUAAUACGGAGGAUGCGAGCGUUAUCCGGAUUUAUUGGGUUUAAAGGGUGCGUAGGCGGAAUGCCAAGUCAGCGGUAAAAUCGCGGGGCUCAACCUCGCUCCGCCGUUGAAACUGGCGUUCUUGAGUGGGCGAGA
rnacentral:rRNA from 1 species